rnacentral:lncRNA from 1 species
UCUUCUGCACAUCAUGUUUUGCACAGCAUUUUCUGCACUGCAUUUUCCCGACGGUGCUUUGCACAAUUUUAUUUUUUCCUUUUUUUUUUUUUUUUUUGGUGGUGUUUUGCACAGCUUUUUUGGUGCCACAUCCUUUGGGUGGCAUUUUUCCACGUGGUGUUCCAUCUGACAUUCCCCACUGCCAGAGCCCCCAGGCCACUCUCACAGCCUGUCCAUCCCCCAGGACCGGCGGCCAGAGGCAGAGGGCAGAGCCUGGCGCCCAGGGAACCCCUACUGCUCGCCGGUGCUGGUGCGCAAGAAAGCCAUUCGGAGCAAAGUGCUGCGCUCGGGAGCCUACCGGGACUGCGGGGGCGAGGGACAGCUCCACCAGCAGCCCCGCGACGCCGCGGCGGCGGGAGGGGAAAGCAAAGGGGCGAGGAGCUUGGCCUUCCUGCCCGAGAACGAGAGCGUCCUCGCCGAGAGCGUGUGGGCCUUCGCCGGCAUCGCCAGGGCCGCCGGGGUCGCGCUGCUGCGGCGGGACGUGCCCGGCUCCUUCCUGCUGCG